AUGCACGCUGGCGGCGUGCCUAAUCCAUGCAAGUCGAGCGCACAGACGAGGAGCUUGCUCCUCUGACGUUAGCGGCGGACGGGUGAGUAACACGUGGAUAACCUACCUAUAAGACUGGGAUAACUUCGGGAAACCGGAGCUAAUACCGGAUAAUAUAUUGAACCGCAUGGUUCAAUAGUGAAAGACGGUUUUGCUGUCACUUAUAGAUGGAUCCGCGCCGCAUUAGCUAGUUGGUAAGGUAACGGCUUACCAAGGCAACGAUGCGUAGCCGACCUGAGAGGGUGAUCGGCCACACUGGAACUGAGACACGGUCCAGACUCCUACGGGAGGCAGCAGUAGGGAAUCUUCCGCAAUGGGCGAAAGCCUGACGGAGCAACGCCGCGUGAGUGAUGAAGGUCUUCGGAUCGUAAAACUCUGUUAUUAGGGAAGAACAAAUGUGUAAGUAACUAUGCACGUCUUGACGGUACCUAAUCAGAAAGCCACGGCUAACUACGUG
rnacentral:rRNA from 1 species